CCAUACCUUCCAUUCUCUCUCUGUUUCCUCUACUUCAGGAUGGUUAUUCAUCCCACACUGGUCACUUGCUGGCCAUGCUUCCCGAUCCUGUCACUAUACCGCUGCAGGCCUCACUUUCCUCAUCUAGGCAAUGGGGCUGAAAAUCCCUGCUCUGCUUACCUGGAGAGGUAACGAGGGGACACACUGAGAAGGGAUGUAGUGGUGUCAAGGCCGACUUUAAGGCAUCUUCCUCCUAUCUCGUUCUGUCUCCGGAGAGGUUUUGGACUCUGAAGAGUGCUGACAGGAAAUAUUGGACCUGUAGCUAUGAUUUGGCUCCCUGACCAGCUCAGUACAAAAGACACCUUCCCUGAGAAGACCUCUGGCUUCCUUGUUCCAAAAUUCUUCACUUGCAUAUCAUUGAAGAUAUGAAAGCUGGAGACAGCACAUAUACUGGGAAACCCAACACAGUCCUAAAAAUUAAAGAAGUCUGUUAUUGCAGUGUUGUAUCCUGUACCUACUUUAGAAUUAUUGUCUUAGUAUGAACUGAAUUUUGUGCUCCAUUUAAAUUAAUCCAACCCCCUGAAACAAUUAGCAUGUUAUCAAUAUAGCAGAAUAGCGUUCCAUUGCAGGAAUGCACCAUAAUUUAUCCGUUCACCUUUUGAUUA